UCCGCAUUAGCUCAGCUAGGUAGAGCGAUAGACCUUUAAUCUAUUGGCCACGGGUUCGAUCCCCGUAUGUGGAA
rnacentral:tRNA from 1 species